CAUUAACCCUUCAGUCAGCCUCCAGAUCUGAACUAUCCAUGGAUUGGGAACAUUGUCUCCUAUGGGGCAUGCCACAAACAUCACUUACACAGAGAGAACCAAAAACAUCAUCUCCUAUGGGGCAUGCCAACCAUUGGCAUGCCCCAUAGGAGAUGAUGUUUUUGGUUCUCUCUGUAUGGGUGAUAUUUGUGGCAUACCCCACAGGACAUGAUCAUGUUUUUGGUUCUCUCUGUAAGGGUGAUGUUUGUGGCAUGCCCCAUAGCAGAUGAUAUUUUUGGUUCUCUCUGUGUAAGUGAUGUUUGUGGCAUGCCCCAUAGGAGACAAUGUUCCCAAUCCAUGGAUAGUUCAGAUCUGGAGGCUGACUGAAGGGUUAAUGUAUAAGAUCUUCCCUACCCACAGCCCAAGGCUAGGGACAAGGAACUUCCCUAACAUAUUCUUCUGGGAUUUGUUUCAACCCAGACCCACCUUGGGGAACUAUUCCUUAAAAAACAGGUCUUGAGGUAAACAUCCAGGGACUUGGCCAGUUCUUGGGUAUUGACCUGAGACAUUUUUGACAUAAUAAAGAUUGUUCUUGAGGUCGGAGAGUUUUGGCCAAAACUCUCAGGUCCUUAAGAGCAAUCACCUGAUCCUUGGCUCCCUGCCUUCUUUGUGUAAGGAUGAUAAAAAGGGUCUUUCUUGGGAAAGUGACUUUGGGAGUCUCCCCCUUGGAGAGGAGCUCUGCCAUAGUGACUUUCCCAGCCGAGACCCUGACAGCCGUGAUACAGGACUCCCCCAGACAGAUGUGCAGGAGUUGGUGCUUCCUCGGAUUGAUUCCUAUCAACGUUACCUAAAACUGUCUUGGGGCAGAUAAUCAUAUUGGAGGGCAUGAGUUAUUAUGCCAGUUUGUACAUCUCUCUUGGAGAAGGAAAUGGCAAACCACUCCAGGAUCUCUGCCAAGAAAA